AAUUUAAUCAAGAGUUUAAUUACUUAAAUUAAGGGUUAAUGUUAUAAUUAAGAUAAAAUAGUUGAUUAAGGGCAAAAGGGUAAACAUAUGUAAACAGAGACUUAACGUCCGUUAGCCUUAUGGGCAUUUUGUGUUAUUUUUUAAUACGUCAGGGGUAUUUGGUACAUUCGGGAAACAUUAAGGGUAUUUGGUGCAUUAACGCAAACCUCGGUGUCAUUUCAUGAAAAAUCCGAACAUUAAUUAACAUCGUCUAAUUAAUACUCCCUCCGUAUUUUAAAAAGAGAUACGCUUUCCUUAAACGGUUGUAUUUUAAAAAGAGAUACACUUUUGUUUUUCGGCAUGUUUUGGUCCCCACUUCCCACUAUAUUAAUAUUUCUCUCUUUCUUUUGGUCCCAACACUUACUCAUAUCAUCUUUUAACUAUAAUAAAUAAUUCACCCACUACCCCACUUUCAUCUUAUUUGAAUAAAUUCAACGCACUCUCCUAAAACUAUGUGCCGGUCAAAGUAUAUCUCUUUUUAAAAUACGGAGAGAGUAACGUUUACCAAAAAGCGCUAUUGUUUGUAUGAAAUAACAACUUUAUAUCAUACUGCUGUUAAAAGAAGCAAUUCUAAUUUCCACUUUAAUAUAAUACAACACUUUUUUUAAAACGAUGUGAUUAAAACUUAAUAAAAAAGAAAAAAGAAAUAUUGAGUAAAUGGGUUGACACCUGCCCGACCGCCAAAACCAAAUUAAUUGAGCAUAAACAAAAGCGCAAAACCCUUUGGAACAUCAGUUCAGCACCUCCUAAAAAUCCCACGUUCUCCAUCUUCCUUUCUUCUCCCACCACGACAUCCACAGUUAAGGAUAUUUAAGGGUUCUCAAUCGAAUUCGAAGUUCAAUCCCAAUCUGAAAUUCAAGUGUUCAAUCCCAAUCCAAGUUGACUCAAACCGAAAUUUACCAAAUUCAAAAGUACAGAGUUCCCUUCAAUCCAAAUAAAGAUUUUCGUAUUUAAUUAGCUUCUUCUCCAUUGAACAUUUCUCGGCGGAGAUUAUUAUCCGGCGAACAUACUUCCCGGCUGCGUGUGGUUGAAUAUCAAUUGUAUCAUCAAUUGCAACAACAUGGUCCGGCAUAAUGUUGAGGAUGUGAGAAUCCAUUUGGUGGUGAACGGAAUUAUUUAAACAUACUCCGUACAAGUGUUGGAUAAAAAAUAUGACAUUAGAUGAUUUUCCUUCUUAUAUGAGUACUGAGAUGUAUGGUGAGAUGUAUGGUGACACAAAAAAUGAUGAAACAGAAUCUGAUGAAAUGAAAGAGGAUUUCACAUUUGAUGAGGAUUGUUUAGAAGAAAUGACACAGAUCUUAGGGCAGAACAUUGAAGGUGGUUCUGAAAUGUUUGAGACCUUGUGUAAUGAUGCAAUACACCGUUGUACCUACUUGUACUAAAUUUAGUAAAUUAUCUAUUGUGCUAAAGCUUUAUAACCUAAAAGCACAUGGUGGAUUGCCCGAUGAAAUUUUCACAAGCUUUCUUAAAUUGGUGAAAGAGAUGCUUCCUGUCAAGAAUGUGCUCCCUGAUCAAAAUUAUGAGGCAAAGAAGAUGUUAAGCUUCGUCGGCAUGGGUUAUGAAAAAAUCCACGCAUGCCCUAAUGAUUGCAUUUUAUAUCGGAAGGAAUAUGCAUCAUUAGAAAAUUUCCCAAAGUGUAACACUCCACGAUAAAAGAAAAAAAAUGUUUCAUCCAAGGUUAUGUGUUAUUUUCCAAUAGUACCCAGAUUUAGACGCCUGUUUAGCAUUGCAGAAGAGGCAAAGAAAUUGACAUGGCAUGCAUAUGAGAGAUUGAAAGAUGGUUUACUUAGACACACUGCCGAUUCUCUAUAAUGGAUCAAGAUUGACACUGACUUUGAAGAUUUUGGGCGUGAAGAAAAAAAUUUGCGUCUCGCCCUUGCAGCAGAUGGGAUGAAUCCUUUUCGCAAUUAGAGUUGCAAUCACAAUACAUGGCUAGUGAUUUUGAUGAUUUAUAGCCUUUGUCCUGACUUGAUAAUGAAACGAAAGUAUAUGAUGCUGACCAUGUUAAUUUGAGGCCCAAAACAACUAGGAAACGACAUAGAUGUGUAUUUGGCACCAUUAAUUUAAUAUUUAAAAAUGAUGUGGGAUUCGGGUGUAGAAGUUUUUUAUGCUCAUCGCAAUGAGAGUUUUAAUAUGAAAGCCUUGCUUUAUGGAACAAUAAACGAUUUUCCAGCAUAUGGACAUUUGGCGGGAUAUAGCGUUAAAGGAUAUGAGGCAUAUAUGCCCUAUUUGUGAGGAUAAUAAAUUCUCACCUUACUUGACAUAUUCUCGUAAGAAUGUCUACCCGGAUUUUCGCAAAUUUUUGCCUAUUGACCAUCAAUAUCGAAGGUGGAAAAAAGAUUUUAAUGGGAAAACUAAAGAAGGUACUCUUCUAGUGCCGCCAUCAGGAGAUGAAAUACUUGAGAAAAUGCAGAAUUUGGAUGUUAAGCUUGGGAAGUUAAACGUAAAAGAUGUUCCCACCACCGGGCACAAAAAGUUGUCAAUAUUCUUUGACCUUCCGUACUGGAGGACCUUGCAUGUGAGACACUUCCUUGAUGUCGUACAUACUGAGAAAAACGUUUGUGAAAGUCUUAUAGGUACUUUACUUAAUGUGCCUGGUAAGACUAAAGAUGGGGAGGCUGCUAGACUAGACUUAGUUGACUUGGAGAUUAGAGCAGAAUUGGCACCAAUCAAGGGCACUGGUCGUACAUAUCUUCCACCAGCGUUUUAUACUCUAUAUAUAUAAAUGAGAAAGUUUCUUUUUGUGAGUGUCUUUAUGGUGUUAAGGUUCCCGAGGGUUAUUCUUCUAACAUAAAAAUAUUUUUGUCAAUGAAAAACUUGAAGCUAAUAGGCUUAAUGUCACAUGAUUACCACAUUCUUAUGGAGCAUCUUCUCCCGGUAGCUAUUCGAUCCAUUAUUUAAGAACCCGUUCGAAAUGCUAUCACAAAACUUUGCAUUUUCUUUAGCGAGAUCUGUAGCAAAGAAAUUGAUCCUUUAAAGUUGAGUGAUUUGCAAAAGGACCUUGUUAUUACUUUGUGUCAAUUGGUGAUAUAUUUUCCGCCGUCAUUUUUUGACACUAUGAUACAUUUGACUGAUCAUUUGGUUAGAGAAGUUCAGCUACGUGGACCUGCUUAUUUGAGAUACAUGCACGCCAUUGAGAGAUUUAUGAAAAUACUGAAGGGAUAUAUAUGUCCAUAGUGGAAGUGGACCAGAAGGUUUCAUUGUUGAACGCACCUUGAUUGAAGAAUCUCUCGAGUUUUGUAUUCACUAUCUUUAUAAUGUAGAUGCAAUAGGGAUUCCAAAGCCUAGGGAUCCCAGAGAAUCCCAUAGGGUUUAAAGGAAAGGGGAUUGUUGGAAAAAAAGUGGUGUCUUUAUCUCACGAAUAGCGGCAUCAAGCACACUUAUAUGUCCUUCAUAAUAGUACAGAGGUUGAUCCGUACGUGGAAGAACACAUGUUGUUUUUGACAGGCUUACAUCCACUCAAGAAUAAACAAUGGAUAUCGAAGAAACACAAUCGCUCUUUCAUUGAGUGGUUGUGUGUUUGAAUUUCUAAUGAAUUAGAUAAGUUACCCUUAUCUAUUUCUAACAGACUGAAAUGGGUUUCUAAGGGUCCUUGUUUUGAGGUUAUGUCAUAUUCUGGUUAUAAUUAAAAUAAAUGGCUAUAUAUUUUACACAAAGGAUAGAGACGAGGAGAUAACCAUGCAAAACAGUGGGGUAGCUGUGUUGGCAAAAGCUAUUCACAUCUCUAGUGCAAAAGGGAGUUUUUCAAUGGCUUUCUCUGAAGUUGGAGUUUAAUGUUGGUCCUCUUUCCUGAAGUAGUGAUCAAUGUAAAGCAAAUAUUUGUUCGUUGUUGCUUAUGAUUAAUGGCUUAUUUAAAUAUUGAUCAAGAAUAAGGUGACGAUGAAUCUAAUAAUGGAGAUGGCCUCCCUUCUUAUAAGGGAAAAGAGGAUAAAGGUAUUGGUGCUACUAGGAUGGCUGCAUUGGUUCGAGCUAGAAAUAGAGGUGUGAGAUUCAAUGUUCAGUGGAAUGCCAAUAGGCUACCAAUCAGGAUUGAUAGUGAUAAAUUGAUGAUUUAUUGGGGGCUAGCAUCCACAAGAAUGUCCCUGUCAUCUACGACAACUAGCACAAAGUUCCUAAAAGUUUGAAGAAUGCACUUUUUGAGGAUCUCUCGAUAACAUUUAAGGUUAGCGAGAGAGAGAAAUCCUGGUUUUUAAAGAAAAGAGGGCGGUGUUGGAGUAACUUCAAAUAUGAUAUAUCAAGAAAUUGGUUGUUUGAUCAACAUGGGAAGUUACGAGAAAAUCCACCUAAGAAAUACGACUUUAUUGAUAGAAUCCAUUGGAAAAAGUUUGUCAAAAGUCGUGUUUCUGAUAUUAUGAAUUUCAGGAAAAAGUGAGGCUAAUCGAGAACGUGCAAGUAAUAAUGACUAUCCUCAAAGGAAAGGACGAAGAGGUU